rnacentral:rRNA from 1 species
UGACUGCCGGUGACAAACCGGAGGAAGGUGGGGAUGACGUCAAAUCAUCAUGCCCCUUAUGACCUGGGCUACACACGUGCUACAAUGGACGGUACAAAGAGCUGCAAGACCGCGAGGUGGAGCUAAUCUCAUAAAACCGUUCUCAGUUCGGAUUGUAGGCUGCAACUCGCCUACAUGAAGCUGGAAUCGCUAGUAAUCGCGGAUCAGCAUGCCGCGGUGAAUACGUUCCCGGGCCUUGUACACACCGCCCGUCACACCACGAGAGUUUGUAACACCCGAAGUCGGUGGGGUAACCUUUUUGGAGCCAGCCGCCUAAGGUGGGACAGAUGAUUGGGGUGAAGUCGUAACAAGGUAGCCGUAUCGGAAGGUGCGGCUGGAUCACCUCCUUUCUAUGGAGA